UUGCCGCUCCUGCAGCUGCUCGGCCCUCUCUUCCUUGGCGUCGAGUUCUUCUUCGACCUUGGCUGCACGCCGAGAGAGGAAAGAAGGACACGAUGGAUGUCAACAUGAAGAGGGUAGAGGACGUGCUGAUGCACAAGCGGCUCCUGGAGCUGGCCAGGGAUUCGAUGCAGCGCCAGGCUUUCGCCGUGGGGGCCGUGCAAAUCAAGAGCCACUUCAUUCAUGAGGCUGCUGAGCAAAGGUACUACUGUGUGUCUAUGUACUUGUGGCGCAGCUGCU